rnacentral:rRNA from 1 species
AUGAAGCUGGAUUCGCUAGUAAUCGCGCAUCAGCCACGGCGCGGUGAAUACGUUCCCGGGCCUUGUACACACCGCCCGUCAAGCCAUGGAAGCCGGGGGUGCCUGAAGUGCGCUGCCGCAAAGGAGCGCCCUAGGGUAAAACCGGUGACUGGGGCUAAGUCGUAACAAGGUACC